rnacentral:rRNA from 1 species
GGGUAACAUGCCCUAAGGUGGGGGAUAAUCUCGGGAAACUGAGGAUAAUACCCCAUAGGUCUGAUAUGCUGGAAUGCUUUCAGGCCGAAAACUCCGGUGCCUUAGGAUUGGCCUGCGGUCUAUCAGGCUGUAGUGGGUGUAAUGGACCCACUAGCCCGUGACGGAUAUGGGCCUUGAGAGAGGGAGCCCAGAGAUGGACUCUGAGACAUGAGUCCAGGCCCUACGGGGCGCAGCAGUCGCGAAAACUUCGCAAUGGGGGCAACCCCGACGAGGGAAUUCCAAGUGCCAGCACUUUGUGUUGGCUGUUCUCCUGUCUAAAAAACAGGAGGAGUAAGGGGCGGGUAAGACGGGUGCCAGCCGCCGCGGUAAUACCCGCGCCCCUAGUGGUGGUCGAUAUUAUUGAGCCUAAAACGUCCGUAGCCGGCCUUCUAAAUCCUUGGGUAAAUCGGGCAGCUUAACUGUCCGAAGUCCGGGGAGACUGGGAGACUUGGGACCGGGAGAGGUCAGAGGUACUUCUGGGGUAGGGGUAAAAUCCUGUAAUCCUGGAAGGACCACCGGUGGCGAARGCGUCUGACUAGAACGGAUCCGACGGUGAGGGACGAAGCCCUGGGGCGCAAACGGGAUUAGAUACCCCGGUAGUCCAGGGUGUAAACGCUGCGGGCUUGGUGUUGGGGGUCCUUAGUGGGCGCCCAGUGCCGGAGAGAAGUUGUUAAGCCUGCUGCUUGGGGAAUAUGUCCGCAAGGAUGAAACUUAA